CCUACGGGGGGCAGCAGUGGGGAAUAUUGGACAAUGGGGGCAACCCUGAUCCAGCCAAGCCGCGUGUGUGAAGAAGGCCCUCGGGUUGUAAAGCACUUUCAGUGAGGAAGAACGCCUGGUGGUUAAUACCCAUCAGGAAAGACAUCACUCACAGAAGAAGCACCGGCUAACUCCGUGCCAGCAGCCGCGGUAAUACGGAGGGUGCGAGCGUUAAUCGGAAUUACUGGGCGUAAAGCGCGCGUAGGUGGCUUGAUAAGCCGGUUGUGAAAGCCCCGGGCUCAACCUGGGAACGGCAUCCGGAACUGUCAAGCUAGAGUGCAGGAGAGGAAGGUAGAAUUCCCGGUGUAGCGGUGAAAUGCGUAGAGAUCGGGAGGAAUACCAGUGGCGAAGGCGGCCUUCUGGACUGACACUGACACUGAGGUGCGAAAGCGUGGGUAGCAAACAGGAUUAGAUACCCUGGUAGUC
rnacentral:rRNA from 1 species